GGGUUGUGAGGUUAAGCGACUAAGCGUACACGGUGGAUGCCUUGGCAGUCAGAGGCGAUGAAGGACGUGCUAAUCUGCGAUAAGCGUCGGUAAGGUGAUAUGAACCGUUAUAACCGGCGAUUUCCGAAUGGGGAAACCCAGUGUGUUUCGACACACUAUCAUUAACUGAAUCCAUAGGUUAAUGAGGCGAACCGGGGGAACUGAAACAUCUAAGUACCCCGAGGAAAAGAAAUCAACCGAGAUUCCCCCAGUAGCGGCGAGCGAACGGGGAGCAGCCCAGAGCCUGAAUCAGUGUGUGUGUUAGUGGAAGCGUCUGGAAAGGCGUGCGAUACAGGGUGACAGCCCCGUACACAAAAAUGCACAUGCUGUGAGCUCGAUGAGUAGGGCGGGACACGUGGUAUCCUGUCUGAAUAUGGGGGGACCAUCCUCCAAGGCUAAAUACUCCUGACUGACCGAUAGUGAACCAGUACCGUGAGGGAAAGGCGAAAAGAACCCCGGCGAGGGGAGUGAAAAAGAACCUGAAACCGUGUACGUACAAGCAGUGGGAGCACGCUUAGGCGUGUGACUGCGUACCUUUUGUAUAAUGGGUCAGCGACUUAUAUUCUGUAGCAAGGUUAACCGAAUAGGGGAGCCGAAGGGAAACCGAGUCUUAACUGGGCGUUAAGUUGCAGGGUAUAGACCCGAAACCCGGUGAUCUAGCCAUGGGCAGGUUGAAGGUUGGGUAACACUAACUGGAGGACCGAACCGACUAAUGUUGAAAAAUUAGCGGAUGACUUGUGGCUGGGGGUGAAAGGCCAAUCAAACCGGGAGAUAGCUGGUUCUCCCCGAAAGCUAUUUAGGUAGCGCCUCGUGAAUUCAUCUCCGGGGGUAGAGCACUGUUUCGGCAAGGGGGUCAUCCCGACUUACCAACCCGAUGCAAACUGCGAAUACCGGAGAAUGUUAUCACGGGAGACACACGGCGGGUGCUAACGUCCGUCGUGAAGAGGGAAACAACCCAGACCGCCAGCUAAGGUCCCAAAGUCAUGGUUAAGUGGGAAACGAUGUGGGAAGGCCCAGACAGCCAGGAUGUUGGCUUAGAAGCAGCCAUCAUUUAAAGAAAGCGUAAUAGCUCACUGGUCGAGUCGGCCUGCGCGGAAGAUGUAACGGGGCUAAACCAUGCACCGAAGCUGCGGCAGCGACGCUGAUGCGUUGUUGGGUAGGGGAGCGUUCUGUAAGCCUGCGAAGGUGUGCUGUGAGGCAUGCUGGAGGUAUCAGAAGUGCGAAUGCUGACAUAAGUAACGAUAAAGCGGGUGAAAA
rnacentral:rRNA from 1 species